UUGUAUAAGUGGCAAUAAUAUUCAGAUGAAAUUUUAGCAUGGAGAAGAAAUCUAAAAUUACAAAUACAAAGAAACUUUGGGUUUUUACUUGAUAUGUUUACAAUAGAAGCUAAAAUCUACACAAACAGAUUGAAGGAUAGGACAAACAGCUAAAAUCUACACAGAGCUAAAAUCUACACAAACUGUAACUCAAGGUUUUGAGGAGAGAGAUUCAAUUAAGUUUUGCAAUAAUAGAUAUUAAAAUUACGUAACUCAACAAUAAUAAGAAAAGUAUUAUGUUAUGCAUUAGAUAUAUAACUUUCAUCUCCACAAUUUUCAUGUUCCAACUAUAUGCACAAAGAUGCCUCAUUUCAUUUUUAAAAAAAAUGCCCCAUCAUUUAAAAUGACUAGCAUACAUUCCUGAUAUAAUAAAAGCAUUGAGGGAGAAUUAACAUUCUCAAUUAAAAAGGAAAAUAUAGCUGGUUGGACUCUAAAGACAACUGAAGAAGGCAACAGAAGCAUUUGCAUAUUUUCAUUCAUAAACUAGUGUUUUUCUUUGUAGACCAAUAACUUCUUGAGUUUAUGUUUUAUAAUUACUAUUAGGGGUAUGAAAAAAAUACAACUACUUAAUUAAAUUUGUCAUACUAUUAAUUAUUCUCCCUCUUUGCCCCUCAUUGGUUCUGUUAUGUGUUGAGGAUUUUAGUGAUCACAUUUCAUAAGUAUUAAAAGAGUCAUUUUUUAAUGAAGUCUUUUCUUUCUUUCCAAUGUUUAGGUUCCUAGUUUUCAACAUUUCUUGAUCAGUUAUUUCUAAACUCUAUAGCAUAAAAUGGUUUCAACAAACGCACCCCAACCUACACAAACUCAAGCAUCUUACACCAAUUCAUAAACGCAAACUCCAUCACUAGUCAAAUUGGAAAAGGCCCUGUAUAUAUAAAUACACCUUGAUUUAAUAUCUACAGAUCACUUUAUAAAUUCUACUAUUUAAUGCACAAAAAUAUGAUCAGCUACAAAAUAAAUCAUCAGUAUGAUGAUUGCAACAAAAUCCAAUAACAAUAAGAAAGAAACACAAAAAAUGAACUCUUUCUUUCAUCAGCUAUUGGCUUAGAAUGAUCUCUCUUUUAUGCUCUUAUAUAUCAAAUGGGAUAACAACUAGAAUAAGUGUAGUAGCAGUAGCAGAGCAAGAAUUGACAGCAUUUGACAUUAUUUUAACAUUUAUUAAUGUGGUCUAAGUGCUAAUUCUAUGAUUGCAUAUAACAUAGUACAGUUUCAAAAGAAAGAUAUUUAAUUAAAUUAGAAGAAUCACAUUAACUUUAACCAAUCAGAAGCAUAAUUAAUCAGCAAAUCCAAGAUUAUUGAAAAUAUUUGUCCUUUUUACACUUUUUACAUAAAGAUAGAACACACCUUUUUUCUCACAGAAUUGAAUUUUUUGUAUCUAUAUUUUUCUUUGUUUCUUCAAUGGCUUCUCUGCAUCUGGACUUUAAGCUUUAGGAGUGCUGUACUUCAAAACGCACACACAAAAUUAACCAUCAAACAAAUACAAAACCAAAAUUCCACAUUAAGAAAGCUUACAGAAACACAGAAAUUUAUACAAAAGCACAAAAAACCAACCCACGAGCAACCAAACCAUCAAUUUAAACAAAAACAAAUUAAAAGGCUACUAAAAAUUAAGCCUUCAACCAUGAGCAUAUACUCAACUUGAUGAGACGCACUUUCAAGAUUGAUAUACUCAAUUAAUUCAUGAAUGAGGCCCAAAAUCAACACCCACACGAGUUAAAGAACUUUUACAAUAAGAAUAUAUUUAUCGAUUCAGAUUUGGAGAAACACUAAAGGAUUAGCACACUGCCUCUAGUGCGGGCGAUUAUGGACGAGUUGUUGAGGCUGGAGGAGAUUGUCGAUCGUCAGAACAGACAAGAUUGUCGAUUAAGGAGGAGUCCGAAAGAGCCUAGAGGAGAUUGUCGAUUAUGGAGGAGAUUUAGGAGGAGAAUGUGAAAGUCGAUCUCCUUGUAAUUUUCAAUGAAACUUGUAUGCUAAAA
rnacentral:lncRNA from 1 species